UACGGAGGGGGCUAGCGUUGUCCGGAGUUACUGGGCGUAAAGCGUGCGCAGGCGGUUCGUUAAGUCAGAUGUGAAAUCCCCGGGCUCAACCUGGGAACUGCAUUUGUGACUGCACGGCUGGAGUGCGGCAGAGGGGGAUGGAAUUCCGCGUGUAGCAGUGAAAUGCGUAGAUAUGCGGAGGAACACCGAUGGCGAAGGCAAUCCCCUGGGCCUGCACUGACGCUCAUGCACGAAAGCGUGGGGAGCAAACAGG
rnacentral:rRNA from 1 species